AGAUGUAGUCCGAUCAUAUCGAUUAUUAUGAAAUUUUAAUAUUUUAUAAUUGGAUACAAUAUAGUUAAAAUAACAAUCAUCAAAACAAACAUGAAUAUUUAAACUAACAAUACGAUACAAUCGUUUCAGAUGUUCAGCAUGCAAAAAAAUUCUCAUAAAAUAUCAUGCUUAUUUGCACUCAUAAAUCUUAUAGUAAAUUAAUUUCUCAUUUGAUCAGUGCUUGUUGAUGAACUCUGCAAUGGCUUCAAAAAGCUUUUCAGUUGCAGAACCAGUAACAGGGUCCAUAUCAACAGCAAUUUUGUUCAGGUAAAAACUGUGUCCCACGCCAUUGUUAAUCAACAGUUCAACAUCUUUUUCCCCUGUUUUCAGUGAUUCGUAAAAUUCCAUUUCAGUGUCUUUUAUCAGAUCCUUCUCCGCUACACAGUACAAGUAAGGCGGCAAUUUCAGCUCCUCCACCGCCGGUGCCGCAUCACCCAUCGGACAAGUGAUCGGGUGAUCCUUAGUGCUACCAAUCGGUAAAGCCAGUUCCAUAAAUUUAUCCACCAUAUCUAAGG
rnacentral:lncRNA from 1 species